rnacentral:rRNA from 1 species
ACAAGCAAACAAGAGCAUCGGGUGGAUGCCUUGGCGUCGGAAGGCGAUGAAAGACGCGGUAAGCUGCGAUAAGCAUCGGGGAGGAGCUAAACAUCCUUUGAUCCGGGGAUUUCUGAAUAGGGAAACCCGGCGGGAGUCAUGUCCCGUCGCCUGCAGGUGAAUACAUAGCCUGCAAGGAGCCAACUCGGGGAAGUGAAACAUCUCAGUACCCGAAGGAAAGGAAAUCAAACGAGACUCCCUCAGUAGCGGCGAGCGAAGGGGGAAGAGCCCAAACCGUGCGGAUUCGUCCGUGCGGGGUUGUAGGACCGGCAUAAGUGAUUCGCGAGUAGGCAGGGGAAGGAGGCUGGAAAGCCUCGCCAAAGCGGGUGAAAGCCCCGUACCCGAACCUGAAAACGACGCUGCCGGCACCUGAGUACCGCGAGGCACGUGAAACCUCGUGGGAAUCUGGGAGGACCAUCUUCCAAGGCUAAGUACUAACCGACGACCGAUAGUGCACCAGUACCGUGAGGGAAAGGUGAAAAGAACCCCUGUCAGGGGAGUGAAAUAGAAUCUGAAACCUGAUGCUUACAAGCUGUGGGAGCCGGGCAUGCCCGGUGACCACGUGCCUUUUGCAUAAUGAGUCAGCGAGUUGAUCUGUACUGCGAGGUUAAGCGCAAGUGGAGCCGUAGCGAAAGCGAGUCUGAAUAGGGCGACAAGUAGUGCGGAUCAGACCCGAAACCGGGUGAUCUAUCCAUGAGCAGGUUGAAGCAAGGGUAAAACCUUGUGGAGGACCGAACCAAUAACGGCUGAAAACGUUUUGGAUGACUUGUGGAUAGGGGUGAAAGGCCAAUCAAACCCGGUGAUAGCUGGUUCUCCCCGAAAUAUAUUGAGGUAUAGCCUCGUGGAUUGUCUAUUGGAGGUAAAGCACUGACAGAGCUAGGGGUCCUACCAGAUUACCAAACUCUUUCAAACUCAGAAUGCCAAUCAGAUGUACCACGGGAGUCAGACGGCGGGUGCUAAGGUUCGUCGUCGAGAGGGUAAGAGCCCAGAUCAACAGCUAAGGCCUCCAAAUCUAUGCUCAGUGGUGAAGGUGGUGACGUUGUAGAGACACCCAGGACGUUGGCUUAGAAGCAGCCAUCGUUUAAAGAAAGCGUAAUAGCUCACUGGUCUAAUGACGUUGCGCCGAAAAUGUAACGGGGCUAAGCAUAGUGCCGAAGCUUUGAAUUCCGCGUAUGCGGUCUGGUAGGGGAGCGUUCUUCAUGGGCUGAAGGCGUGCUGUAAAGCACGUUGGACUGUGGAGAAGUGAUUAUGCUGACAUGAGUAACGAUAAAACGGGUGAAAAACCCGUUCGCCGUAAACCCAAGGUUUCCUGGGUAAAGGUAAUCUUCCCAGGGUUAGUCGGCCCCUAAGGCGAGGCUGAAAGGCGUAGCUGAUGGGAAACGAGUUAAUAUUCUCGUACUUGUGUGUCCGCGCGAUGGAGGGACGCAGGAAGGUAAACGGUCCGGGUGUUGGUAUACCCGGUGCAAGCAGGUAGGCGUGCAGCACAGGCAAAUCCGUGCUGCUCUACGCUGAGACGCGAGUCCGUGGCCGCAAGGCCUGAAGCCGUUGAGCCUCUACUGCCUAGAAAAGCUCCUAAGUAUAGGAUACGCAAACCGUACUGCAAACCAACUCAGGUGGGUGGGAUGAAUAAUCCAAGGCGCUCGAGAGAACUCUGGCCAAGGAACUCGGCAAAAUAACCCCGUAACUUCGGAAGAAGGGGUGCUCUUUUGGGUAAAGUUGAUUCACUUAACCAGCCCGAGGGAGCCGCAGAGAAAUGGUGGUGGCGACUGUUUACUAAAAACAUAGGUCUGUGCCAAGUCGUAAAGACGACGUAUACGGACUGACGCCUGCCCGGUGCCGGAAGGUUAAAAGGAGGGGUCAGCGCAAGCGAAGCUCCGAAUUGAAGCCCCGGUAAACGGCGGCCGUAACUAUAACGGUCCUAAGGUAGCGAAAUUCCUUGUCGGGU